GUCACUGUGGCCGAGUGGUUAAGGCGUGUGACUUGAACUAUAUCGAUAUCACAUCUCUUAGGAGGCAUAGGUUCAAAUCCUGUCGGUGACG
rnacentral:tRNA from 1 species